GGCGCAAAAGCAUCAACAAGAUAUUCACAUAAUUUUGUUUGACAGUUCCUGCAGCUGCAUACUCCUGAAAAAUAAUUCAAAAUUAGCAGAGAAAAAUAGAUGUACCGUAGAAAAAUAAUAUGAACGCAUAAACUAUUACUGGUUUAGUGGUAAACCUAAAUUAA